rnacentral:rRNA from 1 species
UACAGAGGUCUCAAGCGUUGUUCGGGUUCAUUGGGCGUAAAGGGUGCGUAGGCGGCGAGGCAAGUCGGAUGUGAAAUCUCAGGGCUCAACCCUGAAACUGCAUUCGAUACUGCCUUGCUCGAGGACUGGAGAGGAGAUUGGAAUUCACGGUGUAGCAGUGAAAUGCGUAGAUAUCGUGAGGAAGACCAGUGGCGAAGGCGGAUCUCUGGACAGUUCCUGACGCUGAGGCACGAAGUCCAGGGGAGCAAACGGG